CACGUAGGGGGCAAGCGUUGUCCGGAAUUAUUGGGCGUAAAGAGCGUGUAGGCGGCCCGGUAAGUCCGCUGUGAAAGUCAGGGGCUCAACCCUGGGAUGCCGGUCGAUACUGCCGGACUAGAGUUCGGAAGAGGCGAGUGGAAUUCCCGGUGUAGCGGUGAAAUGCGCAGAUAUCGGGAGGAACACCAAUGGCGAAGGCAGCUCGCUGGGACGUUACUGACGCUGAGACGCGAAAGCGUGGGGAGCAAACAGG
rnacentral:rRNA from 1 species